rnacentral:rRNA from 1 species
GAUGAACGCUGGCGGCGUGCUUAACACAUGCAAGUCGAACGAUGAAGCCCAGCUUGCUGGGUGGAUUAGUGGCGAACUGGUGAGUAACACGUGAGCAACCUGCCCCUGACUCUGGGAUAAGCGCUGGAAACGGCGUCUAAUACUGGAUAUGUCCCUUCACCGCAUGGUGUGCGGGUGGAAAGAUUUUUCGGUUGGGGAUGGGCUCGCGGCCUAUCAGCUUGUUGGUGAGGUAAUGGCUCACCAAGGCGUCGACGGGUAGCCGGCCUGAGAGGGUGACCGGCCACACUGGGACUGAGACACGGCCCAGACUCCUACGGGAGGCAGCAGUGGGGAAUAUUGCACAAUGGGCGGAAGCCUGAUGCAGCAACGCCGCGUGAGGGAUGACGGCCUUCGGGUUGUAAACCUCUUUUAGCAGGGAAGAAGCGAAAGUGACGGUACCUGCAGAAAAAGCACCGGCUAACUACGUG